GACGAACGCUGGCGGCGUGCUUAACACAUGCAAGUCGAACGGAAGGGCCCUGCUUGCAGGGUACUCGAGUGGCGAACGGGUGAGUAACACGUGGGUGAUCUGCCCUGCACUUCGGGAUAAGCUUGGGAAACUGGGUCUAAUACCGGAUAGGAGCCAUCUUUAGUGUGGUGGUUGGAAAGUUUUUUCGGUGUAGGAUGAGCUCGCGGCCUAUCAGCUUGUUGGUGGGGUAAUGGCGUACCAAGGCGGCGACGGGUGGCCGGCCUGAGAGGGUGUGCGGCAACAUUGGGACUGAGAUACGGCCCAGACUCCUACGGGAGGCAGCAGUGGGGAAUAUUGCACAAUGUGCGCAAGCCUGAUGCAGCGACGCCGCGUGGGGGAUGAAGGCCUUCGGGUUGUAAACUCCUUUCGCUAGGGACGAAGCGUUUUUGUGACGGUACCUAGAUAAGAAGCACCGGCUAACUACGUG
rnacentral:rRNA from 1 species